rnacentral:rRNA from 1 species
GAGAACGCUUCUGCUUGCAGAGGCUAGUAAAGUGGCGCACGGGUGAGUAACACGUGGGUAAUCUACCCUCGAAUUGGGGAUAACAUUGCGAAAGUGAUGCUAAUACCGAAUAAUAUCGCUAAUCUUUCGGGAUCUGCGAUCAAAGGUGGCCUCUUCAUGAAAGCUACCGUUUGAGGAUGAGUCCGCGUCCCAUUAGCUUGUUGGUAGGGUAAAGGCCUACCAAGGCAACGAUGGGUAGCUGGUCUGAGAGGAUGAUCAGCCACACUGGAACUGACACACGGUCCAGACUCCUACGGGAGGCAGCAGUGAGGAAUUUUGCGCAAUGGGGGAAACCCUGACGCAGCAACGCCGCGUGAGUGAUGAAGGCUUUCGGGUCGUAAAGCUCUGUCAAGUGGGAAGAACCUACUAAAUGCCAAUACCAUUUAGUACUGACGGUACCACUGAAGGAAGCACCGGCUAACUCCGUGCCAGCAGCCGCGGUAAUACGGGGGGUGCAAGCGUUACUCGGAAUUAUUGGGCGUAAAGGGCGCGCAGGCGGCCUGGACAGUCAGAUGUGAAAGCCCGGGGCUCAACCUCAGAAGAGCAUUUGAUACUGCCUGGCUUGAGUAUGGGAGAGGGAAGUGGGAUUCCUGGUGUAGAGGUGAAAUUCGUAGAUAUCAGGAGGAACGCCAGCGGCGAAAGCGACUCUCUGGUCCAUUUCUGACGCUGAGGUGCGAAAGCCAGGGGAGCGAACGGGAUUAGAUACCCCGGUAGUCCUGGCCGUAAACGAUGGGUACUGAAUUGGGGGGAUUCCCAUGUUCU